rnacentral:rRNA from 1 species
CAAUAGCGUAUAUUAAAGUUGUUGCAGUUAAAAAGCUCGUAGUUGGAUUUGUGGCGUACGGUGUGUUCCGGGCACUUGUUGUCUGAGUAACCUGCUGUUGCCAUCCUUGGGUGGAACCUGUGUGGCAUUAGGUUGUCGUGCAGGGGAUGCCCAUCAUUUACUGUGAAAAAAUUAGAGUGUUCAAAGCAGGCUUAUGCCGUUGAAUAUAUUAGCAUGGAAUAAUGAGAUAGGACUUUUUUGCUAUUUUGUUGGUUUGCGCAAAGAGGUAAUGAUUAAUAGGGACAGUUGGGGGUAUUCGUAUUCCAUUGUCAGAGGUGAAAUUCUUGGAUUUUUGGAAGACGAACUACUGCGAAAGCAUUUACCAAGGAUGUUUUCAUUUA